GAUGAACGCUGGCGGCGUGCCUAAUACAUGCAAGUAGAACGCUGAAGCUUGGUGCUUGCACCGAGCGGAUGAGUUGCGAACGGGUGAGUAACGCGUAGGUAACCUGCCUGGUAGCGGGGGAUAACUAUUGGAAACGAUAGCUAAUACCGCAUAACAGUAGAUAUUGCAUGAUAUCUGCUUGAAAGGUGCAAAUGCAUCACUACCAGAUGGACCUGCGUUGUAUUAGCUAGUUGGUGAGGUAACGGCUCACCAAGGCGACGAUACAUAGCCGACCUGAGAGGGUGGUCGGCCACCCUGGGACUGGGACACGGCCCAGACUCCUACGGGAGGCAGCAGUAGGGAAUCUUCGGCAAUGGGGGGAACCCUGACCGGGCAACGCCGCGUGAGUGAAGAAGGUUUUCGGAUCGUAAAGCUCUGUUGUAAGAGAAGAACGAGUGUGAGAGUGGAAAGUUCACACUGUGACGGUAUCUUACCAGAAAGGGACGGCUAACUACGUG
rnacentral:rRNA from 1 species